rnacentral:misc_RNA from 1 species
CGAGGCCCGUGAUGAACAACCACCACCCAUCUACAGUGCAGACCACCAACAAAAACAAAGAUCCCAAAACAUUAUAUGAUCAGGUCAGACGAUGCUGUAUCGUCGCAGGGAGCUCUGGUUAAGGGUUCUCUAGCUGUCUCUCUGUGUCCUCGCAAAAAACGACAGCAUAAAUCUAACGUUGAUUUUCUGCAAGGUAAGGCUUGGAUGUAAACUGUGAGAUGGGGUUAUGCAGUCAUUUUCCUGUAUAUGAGUUUUAUUGAUAGAGUUAUAUGCUAUAUUUGAAGUGGUAAGAAUAUCUGAGCUUUCUUGGAGAAUUGAGGCGUGUUUGAUUCAAUAUUGAGCUCUGAAGUAUGAAAACUAAAGUUUGGAGAUGGAUUUUAGGUUUGAUAUACAUAGUUGCUGUUGCAACUAUCUGGAUAGCUGCUAGUUUUGUUGUUCAAUCUGUUGUAGAUGCUGGGGUUUCACCAUUUCUCGUUACAUACAUUUGCAAUUCAUUGUUUGUGAUUUACAUUCCCUUAGUUGAAAUUGGGCGCUAUUUAGAGGAUUCUUAUGGAAGCUUGUUUUUCUGGAGGAAUAAAAAGAGCAGCCCUUUACAAGAAUUGGGAGAUUCAGAGGAGGUCGUUCUUCUAGGAGAGAGUGAUAUGGGUGCAAAAGUUGAUGGUUUGAAUCCAUCUGUUCCCUUGGAAGAGGGAGAAAGUAGUCAUCAUGGAGAUGGUGUUGGUUCACCAGUGGAAUUUACCUCGUAUUCCAUUGAAAGGAUCUUACCUUUAGAAGAGGCUAAUAAAGGAGUUGAUGCCAAAGGGCGAUGGACACGCACUAGAGUGGCAAAGGUCAGCUUGCUAAUAUGCCCAUUUUGGUUUCUUGCACAGCUGACUUUCAAUCUGUCAUUGAAGUAUACUACCGUGACGUCAAAUACCAUUUUAAGUACUGCUUCCAGCCUUUUCACCUUUUUGGUCUCUCUGGCAUUCCUGGGUGAAAAGUUCACUUGGGUGAAGCUUGUUAGUGUUCUCCUCUGCAUGGCUGGGACUAUAAUUGUCAGCUUGGGAGACUCAAAAACUGGUUUAAGCGCAAUUGCUUCAAACCCUCUUCUUGGAGAUUUUCUUGCUCUCAUAUCAGCCGGUUUGUAUUCAGUGUACAUUACACUCAUUCGCCUAAAAUUGCCUGAUGAUGAUGAUGAUGGAAAGAGUGGUCAAGCCAGUAUGGCACAGUUCCUUGGAUUCCUAGGGCUUUUCAACCUCUUCAUUUUCCUUCCCAUUCCCCUUAUACUGGAUUUCACCAUGUUAGAGCCGUUUAAUAUGAUUACCUGGAAGCAGUUUGGUCUAAUCAUUGGCAAAGGUUUGUAUUUCACGUCUUGCUUGGCAUUUGAAAGUUUAGCUGCAUUGUUUCAACUUUGUGCAAUAAGCCUUGAAAUUGUUCAAUGAUACAUCUUAGUCCAAAUACAUGAAUUAGCCCAUUAGCUAGCUGGGAAAAAUUCAGUGCACCCUCACUUUCUUUUUCCACCUAAUGCACCAUUAUGCUUUUCUUUUUGCAACAAAUUGGUAAGAUUUCUUGGGCUUUUGGUUAUUCAGGUUAUUCUUGCGCUUUUGGUUUAUGAGAAAAUAGAGACGAAAUGGAAUGAAUUUAAUGAAUAUUUCUUAUGUUCACCUUUAUAGUGAUUAACAAGAAAGAGGCGAUAUCUGAUUUCGCUUUUUGUUAAGGGUCGAAAUUUUGUUUAUCUUUAUGACUAGGGAUAUCCCUGCAUAUAUUAUGUCUAGGGAUGAUAAUAAAAAUUAAAACUGUGAUGUAUUGAAUGUAGUUGACAUGCUACAUCAUAAUAGUCCACUAUCUAAUGCUAGAACAUUUCUGAAAGUAGUUGAUCAAUGCCUUGUCUUUCUUGUGUUUCCUUGCCAAUCUGAAUUUGCCAGCCAUUUUUAACAAGCUACUCUUACACUUUUUUAUCUUUUCUCAUUUGCAUAAUCUCUUUUGUGCAACCAGAGGAAUGAUCAGAUCUGGUGGAUGUUAUUCUAUCCACUUUCGUGUAGCAUAAGAGAACUUAGCCCAUCAUUAUUGAUAUUUGUUGUUCUUUUAUCAGAAAGAAAAGGAAUGUUUUGCCAUUUUGACGUAUCAGAUUAUCUUUCAUUUGAGAGGUUUAUUACUUAUAACAUAAUCAAUAAACUACGUGAGCUAGUCGUUUUUUUGGCUUGGGCGUAGUGUCAUACCAUCAUAUGACUAGAAAUAGGUUCCAGAUAUUCUUUUCUAUAGCUGGGAGAGAAAGUGUGGAAUCACAAUUUUUUUCCUCUUUUAUUUCCUAGAUAUGAUUGAUUACAUGAUGUAGAUAAUAUUGGAUUGAAGAACCUGCUUCUUCAGCAAUUAGCAUCCAACUUUGUUUCAUAUUUCUUUUCCUUUUUCCAACUUAAACAGGUUUGUUAGAUAAUGUGUUGAGUGACUAUUUAUGGGCAAAGGCUGUUCUUUUGACAACCACCACAGUUGCAACAGCUGGUCUUACAAUUCAGGUUCCAUUAGCAGCUAUUAUAGAUUCACUAACAGGCAACGCCCCUCGCUUCAUGGAUUACCUUGGAGCCAUAGCUGUGAUGAUUGGGUUUGCUGGAAUUAACAUUCCUUCUGAUACUUGUAGCCAAUCAAUAGAAGCAAGUGUUGAAUCAGAAAACCAAACUCUUAAUUCAACUCAUCAAGAUCAGUCACCAUCCCCGCAAGGAGCAGUUGGCAUUUCAUAGCGUAAUAUUGGUAGUUCUGUUAAAUCACUACACAAUCUUCAGUGAUUUACUAGUGCAUAUGGCGCAAUGCUUCUCACUAGAAUUAUUGAAAGUGCUACACAGCUGUCAUUCUUUAAUUUAGCAAUUGAACAGUAAAAAGUAUUAGCAUUCAAAGGUACUAGCUGGUACCACUCUAGCCAUUUUGUGAGGCUCUGUUUCCUAAUGUGUAUUUUCCUUCCUCUUUAUGUAAUAGAAGAAAUAGAUAGUGUGAUAUAUUAAUUUCUCUGUUCAUAUUGAGCAGAGUCAUAAUUUGCAGCAGUAACACAUUCAACAGGUUAUGAUGGAUAUGACAUCAAAACCACUGUCUGCAGUCAAUUGCUGUCAUAAUUUCUAACUCAGAUUCAAUGCAAAUUCCCAUAUCUUUGCAUCACUCU